AAGGUUCUAUUUGAGAGACAAAUGCCAUGUUCAAGCAAGCAUAUUUGUGAUUUAGCCUUGUGGGUACUCCUUUGCUAAUUUCACCAAUGAUGUUGUCGAUUGGGUAAUCACAAUGGGUUCUCCAUUUUUAUGGAAGAUCACUUUGGUUAUGCUCUUGUUGAAUAGUUUCAUCUUUGUGUCCCGAUUGUUCAACAUGAUCAUCUUUGAUAUUGUCUUCAAUUAGUACAUUUAUU
rnacentral:lncRNA from 1 species